rfam:Schistosoma mansoni strain Puerto Rico chromosome 1, complete genome
GCGCUGCUGAGGAGUCUCAUAAUAGGACGAAACGGCCGUCCAGUGC